GCAAGUGUGCAAGUGUGAGUGUCUCUCUGUCUCUGUGUGAUGCUGAGCUGUGAGAGGCGGUGAAGCUGAAUCUGUGCAAAGCUGUGCAAAGCCAAAGGAUCUGCUGCUGAUCAUGCUGCCCGGCUGGAGAGGGCUAUGUGCUGGGGCAGGGACAGGGAUCUGCUGUCUCCUCGUCUGGAUCUUCUACUCGCACUUAAUCAAAGAAGGUCAGUUGGCUGUAGGUACAUGUGAAAUAGUGACAUUGGAUAGAGACAGUAGUCAACCACGAAGAACUAUAGCCAGACAAACAGCACGAUGUGCUUGUAGAAGAGGGCAGAUUGCUGGUACAACCAGAGCCAAGCCAGCCUGUGUGGAUGUGCGAGUUGUAAAGAGCAAGCAGUGGUGUGAAAUGAUCCCCUGUUCAGACGGAGAAAUUUGUGGUUUAUUAAUAAACAAAUCAGGCUGGACCUGCACACAACCAGGAGGUCGAAUAAAGACAAUCACGGUGGCAUAACAACAGGGUGCACCAAGGACAAAUAUCUCAUGCAUUUGACCCUGGUGGUCACUGGGAGCACAGAAAGACUUGGAGAAAUUGUACUGAGGCAUGACUGGGCAAGUCAGAGAUUUCCCAUAGCCUGAUGCAUCCACCGACAAUCUUGACUCAGCGAGUGAUGGUGUAUCCCGGAUCUGAACUUCUGCAAACAAGGUUUCCUGACGAAUGCAUCAAAGGAGCAGUUCCUCGCCUGGGCAGCUUACUUUGUGUGUGCCACUUACCUCAGAGAGAGAGAGAGAGGGAGAGAGAGAGAAAACAACGAUUUUGCUGCUGUGAAUCUCCAUCUGUUGUCUGUCGCUCUGUACUUUUGUGCUGCACUGUUGGAUGAAUGUUUCCUCCAGCAUGGGAUUAAGUCUGACAUGGCCCAGAUGUUGGGUACACAUGCCUAGAAGAUGCAAACACCCGUACCUUGCAGGAGACGAGGCAAACGCUCCCUUUGUGGAUGGACCUCUGCCUGCCUAAUAAUUGCUACUUUCUGAUGGAAACCGACUGGCAGACAGUCCAAUUAUUUCCACUUCAUAAAGACUAGAUUCCUCUCGUCAGACAUCAAGGGAAGCUUUUAAUCUAAUUUAAUAAAAAAAUACUACAUCAGCAUGAUGAGCAUUCAACCACCUUUUCCUCCUGGACUCGGAACUAAUGACCAAAGAAGGAAAGACCUAUGAAGAAAAAUGGCAUUGUUCAACAAGGCUGUACUAAUUAUAAUUGCUCCAAGUUUUCAAUAAAAAGUCUGAGGACUGCCGCACACACCUCUGAAGGAAAGGAAAGUGUUUUUUUCAGAUGACGGUGAUAUGUUUAUAGCGGUACGCAGCUAAUAUUUCUUUCUUUCUGGAGAUGUUGGAGAUGGGAAUGGAAAAUGGCUUUUAAUUAUCCAAAGGACUGAACAGCAGAUGAGCGGAAAGCAAUGAUGACAGAACUCCUUUGGCAUACAAGGACCUCGACUGCUCUGAGGCAUGCGCUCACGCAUUUUUUUUUGUAAGAUUCUGCAGGUUUCGUGCUCUUAAUUUGUCCUAUCCUACCACCGCAGAGCAUUAGGUAAACUUUUGUCUGUCUGUUCAGGCCUGCGAUCUAUUGACCACAUCUUACCGCUAUGGAAUCCAGUUAAAAACAGCGAGUUCUUGUGUCAUUCAAACAAAAAAAGUCGUCAUUCCGUGUUUAGAGAAAGAAAAACCACUUUGUAAACCUCUAACAGAUUUUGUAUGUUGUAUCUUUGUAGGAAAUCCUAUUUAACUGUGUGUGUGCCCAUCAUGUAAGGCCUGCAAUGCCAUAAUGCCAAGCUGUGAUGUGAAUAGACUACAUCCCAU